GAUGAACGCUAGCGGCAGGCCUAAUACAUGCAAGUCGAACGGAAUAUAGUUUUCGGAUUAUAUUUAGUGGCGCACGGGUGAGUAACACGUACAUAACUUACCCUCAAGAGGGGGAUAGCCUUGGGAAACUGAGCGUAAUACCCCAUAGUAUUAUUGAACGGCAUCGUUUGAUAAUUAAAGCUACGGCGCUUGAGGAUAGAUGUGCGUCUGAUUAGCUAGUUGGUAAGGUAACGGCUUACCAAGGCGACGAUCAGUAGGGGGCGUGAGAGCGUGGCCCCCCACACGGGUACUGAGACACGGACCCGACUCCUACGGGAGGCAGCAGUAAGGAAUAUUGGUCAAUGCCCGGAAGGGUGAACCAGCCAUGCCGCGUGAAGGAUGACUGCCCUCUGGGUUGUAAACUUCUUUUGGAUGGGACGAAAAAACGGGAUUUAUCCUGGACUGACGGUACCAUCAGAAUAAGCACCGGCUAACUCCGUGCCAGCAGCCGCGG
rnacentral:rRNA from 1 species